AAAGGCCAGUGAGCGGGCAUUAACGGAGUCAAUGGACCAUAAAAAUGCCCCUGGUCCAUACGGUGUAGCAAGGGCUGCCCACCACACCAGGGAGUAGCACCUUAGACCAUGCCACUCAGCUACAGAAAUGACCUUGCCAUGCCAGGGACGAACACCUUACACUACACUACUCAGCAACAGGGCCAUACGGUGCAGAGAGGACCUGCCCACGCCGGGGAUUGUCACCUUACAGUAUGUUACACAAUUUCAGGUACUUUCUGGAUGUACUAUGAAAUUUCCCGCACUGAUACCUUCUUUGGUUCUUUGUUAGGGCCAUGAAAAGACAGCUGCAAGAUGACACAGGGCAAGAUGAUUUCCCAAUGUGUAAAGAUUGAACACCAACCUCCGAGAUGAAUCAGAAGAGUAGGGCCACUAGAAGCACCUGUAUGGU